rnacentral:other from 1 species
AUUCCCUCUGCUGCACCAAGGGCACCUGUGUCUUCAGCGGGACGGGGCUUCCUAGAGAAUUGCCUUUGUGAAGAGCUGGCAUAAUUUACAUUCCAUCUUCUGUUUUCCGUUUUGUGCAGCCCCUCCUGCAAAGAGACC